GCGCGAAAACUUUACAAUGCUGGAAACAGCGAUAAGGGGACCUCGAGUGCCAGGUUACAAAUCUGGCUGUCGUGAUGCCUAAAAAGCAUUGCAUAGCAAGGGCCGGGCAAGACCGGUGCCAGCCGCCGCGGUAACACCGGCGGCUCGAGUGGUAACCGUUAUUAUUGGGUCUAAAGGGUCUGUAGCCGGCCGGAUAAGUCUCUUGGGAAAUCUGGCAGCUUAACUGUCAGGCUUUCAGGAGAUACUGUCUGGCUCGAGGCCGGGAGAGGUGAGAGGUACUUCGAGGGGUAGGGGUGAAAUCUUGUAAUCCUUGAAGGACCACCAGUGGCGAAGGCGUCUCACCAGAACGGACCUGACGGCAAGGGACGAAAGCUAGGGGCACGAACCGGAUUAGAUACCCGGGUAGUCCUAGCCGUAAACGAUACUCGCUAGGUGUCGGCAACGGUGCGACCGUUGUCGGUGCCGUAGGGAGCCGUGAAGCGAGCCACCUGGGAAGUACGGCCGCGAAGGCUAGAAACGUUAAAGGAAUUGGGCGGGGGAGCGACCAACG
rnacentral:rRNA from 1 species